GCCCCUGCUUAACUGGUUGCCCUCUUACCAAAUGAACAGAGCAAUGUCUUUUUUGCCCUGAUGACCAACGACAUAACCCUUUUGCCCUCUUAUUCUCUGGUUCUCCUCCUCCAGCAUUACGGCUCACUUCUCUUCAUACAAUUCCCACAAUCAAGAACCGAAUUUUGAUCGCAUCCUCCAAGCAAACUGACCUUCCCCAACUCUUCCUCAGCAGAACAACUCAAAUUUUCUGAUAUUUCACACUCCUCCUUCUCCACACAACCAAUUGGCACAGACCCAUCGGCAGUUUAUUCAGACCCACAACCAGUUGGGUCAUACACAUUAAGAAUUGGCCUUUGGCCUUCGCCGCCAUCUUCCUCUCCAAUAGACUCUUCUUCAACCACCUCAACCUUGACCUCCCCUGUUUCUGCCGUAUCAGGGUUUGGUAUAUCCUGAAACCAGACUCAAAAUCCAAGGACGAAUCAACAAACGUGAAGUCUCGGGGAUCAACAGGGGCAGGUGGGUCCUUCGAAUUCUUGGUCCUCUGUCUGGCGUUCGUCUGACAGAUUUCCGAUCUGCGAUUUCUUCCAUCGUUUCUCUUCAGGGUCAAAACGUCUACAAAUGACGAGAAAAAACGAAAACCACCUAUACAGCAGAGCUAGCAAGACCUAGAUCCCCUUCCACUACCCAGUACUAUAUGUAUAAACACCUGUCCAAACUCUUUUGAACAAUGAGAAACUAAAAGUUGCUCAUA